GUCUGUGGAGCCCAAACCUUAUAAAUCUCAAGCCUGAGUGUCAUUGAGCUCCAUUGUUGCCCUGGAAAGUAUCUACAAAAAGACGUUUCAAUGGGUAACCAUGGAAAUCCAGUCGUCUUAUAUUGAGUCUCCUAAUAAGAGAACAGCCUUAAAAAAAA